rnacentral:rRNA from 1 species
GAUGAACGCUAGCGGCAGGCUUAAUACAUGCAAGUCGUGGGGCAGCAGGUUCCGAGCAAUCGGAAUGCUGGCGACCGGCAAACGGGUGCGGAACACGUACACAACCUUCCUUUAAGUGGGGAAUAGCCCGGGGAAACCCGGAUUAAUACCCCGUAACAUAUAGAAGUGGCAUCACUUUUAUAUUAUAGCAGCAAUGCGCUUGAAGAUGGGUGUGCGGCUGAUUAGAUAGUUGGCGGGGUAACGGCCCACCAAGUCGACGAUCAGUAACUGGUGUGAGAGCACGACCAGUCACACGGGCACUGAGACACGGGCCCGACUCCUACGGGAGGCAGCAGUAAGGAAUAUUGGUCAAUGGACGCAAGUCUGAACCAGCCAUGCCGCGUGGAGGAUGAAGGUCCUCUGGAUUGUAAACUUCUUUUAUUUGGGAAGAAAUCUAUCUUUUCUUGGAUAGUUGACGGUACCAGAUGAAUAAGCACCGGCUAACUCCGUGC